AAGAAAAUCACAGCCAUACAGGCUACGCUUCCCCCAGCUGAGGUGUAUCUGCAGUCUGUCGGUGGGAAAGAAAGCAACCCUAUAUGGAGACAUGCUCCUCCCGCAAACCUCAUCUGUCAGCUAUUAGUUAAUCAGGGCUGGUGACUGGGGGGAAACGGAGAGCUGGCAAGGCCCCUGGGACUGGAGGACAGCUUCAUCUCUGAGAGAGCACAAUGAGGGCAAAGACUCUGGGACCUCUAGUCUGAGGAUCCACAGCUGGGAAGCCUUACAGGAAUGUUUUUUAAAGGACCGCCGUCCAAACGACACAUGCUAUCAUCACUGCGGCGGGAGCAUCGCCGUGGGCCAGAGGAAUGCCAAGAGCCAUAUAUAUCUGCUCUGCAGCGGGAAACCAGAUAAUCCAUACAGAUAUCAUUCUAAUCCAGCUCAUGCUAUCCAUGACUAAGAAUCUGAAGUAGAGCACGAUACAAGAAUGAUGGUGAAUGCAGAUGCUUGCAUGUAAAAAUGACUUCCUGUUUCCAUCUCUGCAGUAUUUGACAAACGGCGAACUCCUCGCUGACACUAAACAUCCCGUUCUGGACUCUGAGUCUGUUUUCUGUGGGACUGGGGUCAGCCAGUCAAGUUCCUCUGCCCCAGACUGGAUCAUCUUUGACCUGUGACCUUGCUUUGUACAGUGAUGUACAUUUGGUGGUGUAAGGCCUUGGAUGGGAAUUCUCAGCUACGGAAACCCAUUCCUGAACGCUUUCUACCGACUGUUGUUGAGAUGAUCAGAAGCCACACAAAGUUUGGAGAUCUACAGCUAUCCACACAGCUGUUAGCCUCGGCAAAAUGUACACUUUAGUCAGUGGUGUCCCUGCUUUCUUACUUUACUUUGCCUAUCACUAAGUGGCCAAGUUGCUAUUUUUUCCAAUGGUUUCCACAUUUGACUGUUGAAUAAUUAGUAGUGGGUAAAUUCCACCAAUGGUCUCAUUAUUGAGUCGGCAGCCUACCUACUUUACUUUCAUUUCCUGGGUCCUUCAGUGUAACCCAUUCUUUCAAAUGUUUUCAGAAGCAGUCUGCAUGCUGAGAUGGUGGAUUUUAUACAUGUGGCCAUUGGAAGGAAUUGGAACAUCUGAAUUCAUUGAUUUACAGGGGUGACCCAAUAUAGUGUAAGUAUAAUACAGAUAUAACAUAAAGACAUACAAUUUCAAGUGGCUUAAAAUUACAUUUUAAUAAUUAUGGGUUGGAGUAUAGCAGAUGCUUUUUGCCUGUGUCAAGGCAAGGCCAUGCCCUCUGUCAUUCAGCAGACCCCGGGAUACCCCAGACUAAAUGUUUCCAGACCUUUGUGCCCUGUCUGUUCUCAUUUCGUCUCACUGCAUCUGCUCCUGAUCAUGCCAAAAAUAACAUUUACUCUUCACUACAGUAUAGGCUCCUUUGUCUCUCUCUCUCUCUUUCUUUAAUUUCUUCUAAUAGCAUGUUCAGACACUGCUUCAAUGAGUUAAUUUUUGCAGGUAGUUAUUGACAACAUUCAGUGUCCUAUAAACGUCUUUAUUCAUCUUAAUUUUUUUCACAUUUUGGCACAUAACGACCACAAACUUCAAUCUUAGGGAAUUUUAUGUGAAAGAGCAGCACAAACUAGCACAUAAAAUAAUACAUGGUUUUCAAAAUAUUUGGCAAAUCCUAAUAUUAAAAGUGCCCCCACAAUCAUAUUUUGCAGGAUUGUUAUGUACAUCAACAGACUAUUUUUUUUAUCAUUCUUGUUUUCAAAAAUAGCUCAAGCUCAGUCCGACUCUGAACAACAAUUUGCAAAUCUUGCUACAAAAUUUCCAUUUUUAUUUAGGUCUGGACUUUAACUGGGCCGUUUUAUCACAUGUGUUGUAUUUGUCUUGACCUAAGCAGUUCAACGGCAUGGCUGUGGUUGUACUUCUGGAAGGUGAGCCAAAGGCCCAGCCUUACACUGAGUCUUUUGCAAUCUGUAACAGGUUUCCUAUCAGCUUUGCCUUGCAUUUAGUUCCAUCCAUCGUCACAUCAGCUCUGAACAGUUUCCUUUGACCUACUUAUGAAAAACAGCCCCGACGCUUUCUGCUGUCACUAGCAUGUUUCACCAUAGGUGAUAUACAGUUCUUGCUCUCUGGCACAAACAGUAAAGUGCAAACAGGACUUCUGAUGGCUCACUUUCAGGGUGUUCUUGCUUUCUUCUGGCCACUCUUCAAUAGACACCAGAUUUGUAGAGUGAACCAUUAAUAGUUCUGUUGUUUACAGAGUCUUGAGUUGUGGAUCUGCAGAGAUCCACAACUCAAGUUACUAUGAACAUCUCGUGUUUUUCUCUUAUCUCUCCUUGCUGAGACUGUGAGUUUAGGAUCCUGGAGACAAUUACCUGAACUGUUUUGUAUUUAGACAUAGAGGUGCCUGAAUGCAAAUCGUCACUACGCAUUUCAUAUUUUAGUAAUGGAAAAUUGAAAACCAUGUAACAUUUUGAUUUCGCUGUGCAACCAUAUGUAGCUUUGAGUUGGCCAAACCUUAGAUUCGAUUUAGAGGGACACUAUGUGAAAAAGCUCAAAGGGGUAUAACUGCUUUUGUAUACUGAUACAAGUACUAUGCAAUGCAAUCUAUAUUUACAGUGCGGAUUUGUAAAACCUGUGUUUGCUUUUUCAGCCUAAGUUUACUUCCAGUCCUGACCGAAAAGCAGCCAUUUGAGCAGGUUUUGUUUUCAAUCUUCAGAUAAGAUCUCACUGAGACUCGUUUUCCACCUCCAAUGUUUUCAAGGUUUGCAGUAAUCGUUUUGCCCAAAGCACUGCUUUGCUUUCUCCCAAAGGGGCCACUAUGAAACAUCAUCUCUCCAUGCAUAUUCAAGUCAAGGCCGUGACGAGAACCUUGUGCUCGUGAGCACCGGGGAGAACCUUUCAUCUACUAAUUCGGGUUGCUCAAACUUGACUGACAGGAAACGCCAGCCCCAUGAUGUCACAAACAACUGACCCCAAGGUGACAGGUUUGAGGAGUGUUCAUGCUCAUUGCUCUUAGCCUGGAGUUAAGAAUGUCAAUGUAUACAUGUGGUUUGGAUUUGAAGCGCUGUGAUUAGCUUGCAGACGCUCUGCUGCCACCCCUCCUUUCCAAGGAAAGCACAUAUUUAACAGGAAACGGUAUGUUUUUGCUUAUAAGAAGACAUAAAUUACAAAAACGGUGCCUCUUAACAUAAGUAAAACACAACCAUAUUGUUUGGGGACAGAUGUUUUUCUUAAAGUAAAUAGCACUGGUUAAUGUAUUAUGCUUAAAACUUUGAAUAUGUGAUUAUUUUUUGUUUGUUUUUUUUUGGAAAAUAUGUGCAAUAAAUGUGGUAAUUUCUUGGCGUCGUCUCAUUAUUUCCAUACGGAACAAAUAUGCUUUCAUUGCACACAUUUUUUCUUGAAUAUGGAGUAAGUAUUAUUAGAAUCUUUGUCAAAUUAUUCAAAUAAGCAAUGAGUAAUUAUCAUUAUUCAUCUCAGACAGGCUAAAAAGCAGAAUUUGACUUGCAUAUUUGGAUGUUUUGGGAUAAGUGGGGUUAUAAGAGACAUAGGUUUUCCAAUAAGAACAUGCUUACAAAGAAACCUUCAUUUCUAAUCUUUGGCACCUUUUCAGGAAUCACCUUUGUGCGUUUAUGAUGUAUAAAUGUAAUUAAUUGGGUCAAAUCAGCUUACUUUUAGACAAGCUCCCUUGUUACUUUGAAUAUAAAUAUAUCUGGAUUAAUUUAUCACUAUAAUUAGUAUAUCCAUGAUAUUUAGUGAGUAGUCUGAAGAGUAUUGUACAAAGUGAAAUAUACCUAAAGAGACUUAUUCUCAGUGGUUUGAUUAUUUUCUUAUAUUACCUCUUAGAUCAUAAUGUCUGUAUUGUGUGGUCAAGUGUUUUUUUUUUUCUCAGCUGUGCAACUCUUGCCAAAACGAAUUAAUCCAAAUUAAUGUUGUAGUAAACAGAGCAAACUUCUGUAGUCUGCAGCCAAGUGUAUUGCUGAGACCUCCAUCCAGGCAAUGGUAAGCAGAUGUUCAACUCAGCAGCAGUUUGAUUUGGACUGUGUCUGUGACUGUGUUUCUCUUGGGAAACUAUAAAAUAAGAUAAUAAAACACAUUGAAUGAAGGCAAAAAGAGAUGAACCGAUCAGGAUUUCCAAGGCCAGUUUCUUGUUUACCGUGGGCUCUGACCUGAUGAUUCUUGAUUUUCACUACAUAAAAGACUGUAAUGUAUAAAAUAAAAAGUGUAGUGGGUUAUUUGAUUGAGGUUUAGAUACAACAGAAGAGUGAGAAAUAGCAAGAUUUCCCCAUUUAUGCACCAAGUCAUAUGUCCCUAAUCUUUAUGUGCUUUUAAAUAACUCCUAAAUGUGGAUCGAAGUGCAUUCUGAUUUUUUAGGUUUGAUGCAUUUAAUAAAUAUCAUCACUACUUAAUUUUUACAUUGCAAAGCUCUACAACGCUAGACAAUGUGAAGACAGAAUUUUUUAACUGUGUAACUUAAAGCUGAAUUGCCCUUAAGAAAAGUCCCCGAUUUACAAGCACAUCCUAAAUGUUGCUAAAUGUUGUUGAAUGCCUAAAAAUAUUUACCCUGUCAAAGAAAUAAAAUGUACAUAGAAUUCUA